AGUCUCUGCGGUAUGUUACUUCACCCCGCUGGAUUUCAAUCGACCCCCAUUGAGUUUAAAUUAAACAUACAAAUAAAAGAUUUUAAUCAAAAUGACAACAAAACAAAAAAGAAAGAAUACGUGAUAGGUUGUUGUGGGUAAAAAAUGUUUUGGUACGUGAACAAAAAAACAUGUGAAUUUGUAACGCGUGACUGGAUAUGACGUCAUCAGUUUUAAUCUAAUUUUCCAUGAAAAAUAUAUCAACAAAGGACCUCACUUCCUUGUUGUUGCGAAUGUUUUCAACACUCUGCAGUGUAUAGAAGAUAUUGAGUUAGAAAACAUUCUACAGUGAAAUUAAAGCUGUUGAAGACGUGAUUUCUAAAGCGUGUUUGAAAAGAUGAGAGGAGCGACAUAUAUGAAAGUAGCCUUACUUAUUUUUGCCAUAUUGCAACUAUCUUACGCCUUUACAGGAGCUGGCAUUGGAGAUUUUACAAGAAUCGGAAAAAGGAGUUACGGCCAGGAACAUCCAAUCCAACGUACAUGUAGACAAGUCUUAGAAAUUUGCAUGGAGUACAGAAAAAAAAGAAAAUGAAUAAAUAAAUAAAUUUUAUCAUCAAAAUAAAACUUAUAAUAGUAAAUAA